UACAGAGGUGGCAAGCGUUGUUCGGAAUUACUGGGCGUAAAGGGCGCGUAGGCGGUCUUGUAAGUCUUGUGUGAAAUCCCUGGGCUCAACCCAGGAACUGCGUCCGAUACUGGGAGGCUUGAAUCCGGGAGAGGGAUGUGGAAUUCCAGGUGUAGCGGUGAAAUGCGUAGAUAUCUGGAGGAACACCGGUGGCGAAGGCGGCAUCCUGGACCGGUAUUGACGCUGAUGCGCGAAAGCCAGGGGAGCAAACGGG
rnacentral:rRNA from 1 species